GCCAGGCAGACAUGCUGGAAAGGGAAGAGAAGUGGUUUGCAUCACGGGAACUUAUGUUGGAUAACAUUUGUUAGAAUCUGUUGCCAUGGCUGUUGGAUAAAAACAACGAAACUCUUCUGGUUUCGGGCAAUAUACUGCUGCAUUUAAAGCUAAAGAGCCACCUUGAAUUUUAUCAACAGACCAGGAAUGGCAGGGGAACUCUUAAGGGUUAAUUUGCUUGCAUAUAUGUGCCUCCCUC
rnacentral:lncRNA from 11 species